GGAUUGGGUGCCACUGCCUUUUGGGCAUUCUCCUGAUGCCGUGCACUGCACCUGCAGUAUGUGUGUCUGAAUCCAGUGUCACUUCCAGAGAGGCCCUGUCCAUCUUCCAAUGCACCCCUCAUGCUGUGCAGGAGGUCACAGUCACGGUCACGGGCACAGAGCCACGUGAAGGGAGCUGCUCGAGCGCCCCGGAGCCUCACCUGGGAGGAGACGCAAGAAGUCUCCCGGUGCGGGAGCCUACAGGGCUGAGCGCGGAGACCGCUACGCCCCAACGCGGGCUCAAGCCCAGCGGAGAAACGUCGCUCAGUUGGAGUGCAGUGGCACAAUUACGGCAUCAACCUCCGGGGCUCAAGUGAUCCUCCUGCCUCAGCCUCCCAAGUAGCUGGGAUCACAGGUGUGCACCACCAUGCCUGGCUAAUCUAUGAGAUAGUUGACUGCUGAGGAAUAAGCCCUACGCCACUUAAGGAAGUAAGAAAUACUGUGAUGUGUAAAGAAAUGACAACAUUAUGCCAAUCAAGAAGAGAAAUAAGGCCUUUUAUUUCCAAAAAUGUCCUCAGAACAGAAGCUGAAUAACUGGUCAUUUUCCUUUCAGGUUCUUGAUUGAUUUAAAAUUUUUUCCAUGAUAAAAUAAAUUAGGAGAAACUUCCAUCACUAAGUGAUUUGAAAUAAACAGAAUUCAUUAUGCUACUCAAGUAUCUGGCAAAUUUGUAGCAAACUCCAAAUUCAUUUUUCAAAUAUGUCUAAGAAGACAUGCCAGAGAUGGCCUUAGUUGUACCACAGUUGUGCCGGAAGGACAAGAAGACCAGCUAAGAUUGGAGCAGGGACACAUUCCUCCAAGUUCCCAGAUGAAACCAGUGCCACUAAAAAGAGAAUCUCUGGGUGAGGGCUUCCCGUUUCGAGAGUGCUUUAAACAUUCAUCAAGAGACCAACAGAAUCUAUAAGGGAGUUGUGUGCUUUAUAAAUGCUGGGGGUGCUUUAUGGAUGAGUCGUAUUAAAG
rnacentral:lncRNA from 10 species